CGUCGUGGCUGGCCCAACUGCGGCUUGUGUCCCCUUUGUAAGCAAGCACAGGAGUCCGCUGCUCACCUACUCUUCCAAUGCCGUUUCACAUUGCGCAUUUGGAAUGACAUUCUUCUAUGGCUUGGAAUGCACCACAUCUCUACUACUACAUGGACGAUGAGCGCUUCGGUCAAAGAAUGGUGGGACAGCAACCUUCAGAUUCGUCUCGGCUCUCCCAAAGCCCUUGCCUCAUUGAUGAUGCUCAUCUCUUGGGAGGUUUGGUCCGAGAGAAACGCUAGAGUCUUCCGCAACGUGGCGGUUCCAUCGGUGGUCAUCAUCAACAAGAUCAAGCAUGAGGCGUCGCUUUGGGCUUUGGCGGGUGCCAAGCACUUGAGUAUUGUAAUGCCGCGAGAGUAA
rnacentral:rRNA from 1 species